AGCUCCGCCCCUUCUCCCCAGCAUCUCCAGGGAGAACCACUCACAGCGCCCCUCAAGAGUUAGCACCGAGCGGUCUCCGGGCCCUAGUGCUCGCCCUGAUGGCUUUACGUGGUGCCUAAAAUGGGAAAGUAAAGCUCUGGUCCCUGAGAAGCAGAGCCCGAGAUGCAUAACUAGUCUGUUGAGUAUUUCCACUCAAAACUGGAAGGGCCAAGCACGUCAUGCUGUAUCCUGCAUAGCCUGUGCCCCUCAGGACGGAGAUCCUGAGAGAUGAUAAAGACCCUUUUUUGAGGUGGCUCGUCAUCCUAGAGUUCAGUUUUGCCCUGUUGAGGGGAGAGGUGCGGGUAGGAAGGGGUAUUCCUGGGUUCAUUUCUAUGGUCAACAAAGUUUGGUUGAGCUCCUAUGAAUGGUAGACACUUCUCCAGGCAGGUGAUUGAGCGGUAAUGAAGCGAGUCUAGGCUACACGGGCUUAUCUGAGAGGGGAAAAGAAGAAAGAACACGCAAUCCGUUGGUGCUGAGCUUCAGGCAGAGGCGUUAAAACAGUGAUGCCCAUGCUGACUGGGUGGGAGGUUACUUCCGGGACGGCCCCUCUGGGGAGGAGACACUGGAGCUUGGUCUUCCAUGGCGAGAAUUGAUUUUAUGGAGGCCAAAGCAGAAACUGGGAGAUUAGGAGACUUGUAGUCCAGAUGGUCAUUAACGCUUCUGAAACUGGCAUAUAAACUCCUGAUGAAAGUUAAGUCUGCAAGGAAAUAAGUGUUUGACCAGAAUGGGCCCCAUGGCUCAUUCUCCCAGCUUGCCAUGCCCUCCAUUCUCCUCUCCAAUUGCAACCUCGAGGACCACUUCCUAGCCAUCUUCUGUAUCUGGGACAGCCAGCAUCAUGUCUGGGGUGAUCUCGGAGUUGCUGAGCAACCAUGACCUCCAUCAGAAGUACUUCACUGAGGUGGAGGCUGCUGUCACCCACCUGAUCAAUUGGCAUGCACAGUCCUCCUGCGCAGACCUCUCUCUGGACUUCUAUGGACACUGCUCCGGAGGGCCUGGGUCACUUCUCCUGUGAGUUGGCCAAGGAGAAGCACCAGGGCCCCAAGCAUGUGUGAAGGUGCAAAACCAGAGUGGCAGCUGCACACACCCUCUUCUAGGGUGUGCACUACAGAAGCUGCCAUAGCCCUGGAGAAGAAUCCGAAACAGGCCAUUUUGGAUUUUCAUGCCUUGAGUUCUGCCCACACAGGCCAUCAUCUCUGUGACUUCCUAAGAAUUACUUUAUGGAGGAGGAGUAAAACUGCUCAAGAAGAUGGGUGGUGACCUGACUAAACUCUGUGGGCUGGCAGGAACCAGGUGCCUCCUCGUGGUCUCCCAUGCGGGUGCAGGGCCCAAGCACUUGGGCCAUCCUCCACUGCCCUCCUGGGCCACAGCAGAGAGCUGGAUUGGAAGAAGAGCACAAGGGACUAGAACCCGGAGCCCAUAUGGGAUGCUGGUGCCGCAGGCAGAGGACUAACCAAGUGAACCAAGUUAGAUAUCUAUGAUAGCCAUCACUAAGACACCCUCUUGUUAAGUUUCUUUUUGGGAAGUUUUGACGAAGCUUUGCAUGACAGAAUACCAUCCUAUGACCAGAGAACACAGUGAUCCAUGCUCUGGAUCAAAGAAGCCAUUCAGAACUGACAGGACACAGAAAGCAACAUCACUGGGGAAAAAAAGGGUUCACUCUUCCAACAGCUACGGUGACAGAGAACAAGGGAAGGCUGUUCUCCAGCUUCACAAUUUCGUGCUACACAAGGUCCUUACUGUGAAAUUUCCCUUUGUCCCACACUGUUUU